CGGGAAGCCAUGGCUAGAUCCGGACAGUUUAGCAGAGCACAAAAAAUGUCUGCUGGUUAUAUAAGGAGCCCCCUGGGAUGCCCACAUGUGCCCACUUGCUUGCCUGCUUAUUGUUUUCAGGUCAUCAUGCUGGGGAUCUCCCCUUGUUCGCAUAUAAUGUUUGGGCUUGAUUGGAAGAUUAUGCUUGUCCCAUUCUAAAUAUUAUAAAAAUGAGGCUUGAGUAUUGAUCUGUGGGUAAGUGUUAGUGUCUCUUU